GGCUUGUCUGGUCAACACACCUAUACAACUGGAUUUCUCAUUUAACUUUUCCACUCUACUGAGGGCAAGCUAGUGGGAGACCUGUAAUGACACGUGUGUAAACGCUUGAGGACCUCUCAAAUCACACCAUACUGAAACACACUUAAGCCUGUUUAAUUUUGCCCUAGGCAGCACAUAUCUCUCUAUAACAGAAAUCAAGGAAAGGGCAAUUAUAAAUUUAACAUGUACCAGGUGCCCCAAGUACCUGAUCUCAUUUACCUCACAACAGCCCUUUAGGGUAUGCACAACUACUAUGACUCAACCCAUUUCGGAACCUGAGGUUCUGCGUGGUUAAGGGCGGUGCUGAAAAUCACCAAGCUAAAUAGUUAAUGAGCUAAAAUUCAAACCCAGAUCAGAGGAAAGGGAAACCUUUAAGAAAAAGAGAAAGAACGAGAGCAAUGCCUGCUCCUGGCCUCUCCCAAGGACUACUCCCUGGCUCCUGUGCAGGCCCCACUCAAAAGUCUGCUCUCUCUAAUGCUGCAAGAACAACCCAGGGACAGACACCUUGUAGAAGACAAGAAGACACAAAGAUACAGACAGAGAAUAAAGCCAUGUGACAAUGGAGGCAGAGACUGAAGUGAUGCAGAUACAAGCCAAGGAAUGCCAAAGAUUGCCAGGAGUCAGGAGCUAGGAAGAGGCAAGGAAGGAUCCUUCCCAAGAGGUAGCGUGACCCUGCCAACACUUCAGAUUUUAGACUUCUAGCCUCCAGAACUCUAAGAC
rnacentral:lncRNA from 1 species